rnacentral:rRNA from 1 species
UGAAUACGAGAUGCUACGGCAUUGAAGCAGUGUAUGUCAGACUUCCAAGAAAAGCUCGCAAUGUCAUAAACAAUAAAUGCCUGUACCAUAACCGACACAGGUGGGUAGGUAGAGUAUACUAAGGGGCGCGAGAUAACUCUCUCUAAGGAACUCGGCAAAAUGACUCCGUAACUUCGGGAGAAGGAGUGCCUUAUUUUAUAAGGUUGCAAUAACAAGAUCCAAGCAACUGUUUACCGAAAACACAGGUCUCCGCUAAGUCGAAAGACGAUGUAUGGGGGCUGACGCCUGCCCAGUGCCAGAAGGUUAAAGAAGUUGGUUAGCUUCGGCGAAGCUGAUGACUGAAGCCCUGGUGAACGGCGGCCGUAACGAUAACGGUCCUAAGGUAGCGAAAUUCCUUGUCGGGUAAGUUCCGACCCGCACGAAAAGCGUAAUGAUUUGGAUACUGUCUCGGAGAGGGGCUCGGUGAAAUAGACUUGUCUGUGAAGAUGCGGACUACCUGCACCUGGACAGAAAGACCCUAUGAAGCUUUACUGUAACUUGAGAUUGAAAUUGGACUUUAUUUGCGCAGUAUAGGUGGGAGACGUUGAGAAUAUUCUUGCGGGAAUAUUGGAGUCAUCAGUGAGAUACCACUCUUGUAAUGUUAGAUUUCUAACUUUGUAUCAUUAUCUGGUCAAAGGACAGUUUCAGGCGGGCAGUUUGACUGGGGCGGUCGCCUCCUAAACGGUAACGGAGGCGCACAAAGGUUUCCUCUGAACGUGUAGAAAUCGUAUCUAGAGUGUAAAGGCAUAAGGAAGCUUGACUGUGAGACCUACAAGUCGAGCAGGGACGAAAGUCGGUCUUAGUGAUCUGACGGUGCUGAGUGGAAAGGCCGUCACUCAACGGAUAAAAGUUACUCUAAGGAUAACAGGCUGAUCUCCCCCAAGAGUUCACAUCGACGGGGAGGUUUGGCACCUCGAUGUCGGCUCAUCGCAUCCUGGGGCGGUAGUACGUCCCAAGGGUUGGGCUGUUCGCCCAUGAAAGCGGUACGCGAGCUGGGUUCAGAACGUCGUGAGACAGUUCGGUCCAUAUCCGGUGUAGGCGUUAGAAUAUUGAGAGGAGCCUUCUUUAGUACGAGAGGACCGAGAAGGACAUACCUCUGGUGUACCAGUUAUCGUGCCAACGGUAAACGCUGGGUAGCUAUGUAUGGAGUGGAUAACCGCUGAAAGCAUCUAAGUGGGAAGCCCACCUCAAGAUAAGUAUUCUC